GCAGGUGGAGCUGGGGGAUUUCUUGCAGCUGGAGGAACAGUGCUAGCUCUUGAGUGUGAACCAGGAGGGAGCAUAAAGAGGAUGAAAGGUCCCUGAAGGGGAAGCCAGAUCACAGUGACAAUGGAAAGGAGCCCUAAAGUGGAGCAGAGUGCAUCCCAUGUGAAUGACAUUGCCAGGGAUACUUCUGGUCAUAGCAGUGUGAAGGGAAGGACUGGGGAGCUCCCAAGCCACAGCUAACAGCACAAAGUUUCUGUUGGUUUGGUGCUUAGCAGAUAUUUCCUACCAGCCCUGGCCAAGCGAUAACACUGACCAGAAGAGGAGGCAGACCAAUUUUCCAACUAACAAAGAUAAAUUUAAAUUAAAUUAUGCUGGACUGUCCUGCUACAACACCAAAAAUGCCUCCCUGAACUCAGCCUUGCAGAUUAUUGGGAAUAAACACAAGGUUGCCCAGAGCUGGUAACCCCACUGAAAAGGUUUUGUGACCCCAUUUCAGGUUGAAAACCUCUUUUUGAGAAAUGCUGAGCCCUCAGAAAGAAGAAAAAGCAAACUUGCUUAUAGUAGGCUGAAGUGAAGCUUUGCUUAGGAAGACCAGAGCUUUUCCUGAAGUUACAUAAACACAAAGUUUGGAUGAGUGAAGCCAAUUGCCUCUGUUGCUUGCUGUGUAUUGUGGAUGUUCUGCAAGGAAAUGUGAGAUCUGACUUCCAGAGGUCCUGGUGAUUCAAAUACGUUCUGGCUUCAUCCUCCUCAAUAAAGGCCUUGUGGAAGAGGUUGGGAAGGAGCCCAUCCAAUCUCAGGGUCACUGUCAGCACAUCAUGAUUGUAAAAGAAAGUAAGUGUGGAAAUGUUCCAUGCCAUCAGUUGGAGGAUGCUCUUAGGGACAGCAGGAACUCCUUUUGCUCCCAUCUCCUGCCUUGCUCUCUCCACCAUCUCUCCUCAGCUUUCAGCCACUGGAUUCAGCUGAUGCAGAGCAGGAUCUCGGGAUGGCCGCUCUCCUCCCUAUCCCCGCAUCAUCAUCUCGGUGUGUUUUCAGUUAGCUGAAGCCUUUUUAAUAGAUGUGGCUGAAUUAUUCAUCAUGUACAAAUUAGUUGAUGGGCACUGUCCUUCUGUGAGUUGUUUAUCAUGCUGGUUUUUUUCUUUCACAUGGGCCAUUAACUGGUUAGAGAUUUUGGCCAGGAAUUGGCAGUUUCCAGCCACUUGCUCAGACUGAUUUUCCAAGGCCUUGGUGGUCUGUUUGGGAAAUUUUCUUUCUCCCAUGGGGCAGUUUUUGCUCUCAGUGGCUUUAUGGCACAUAGCAAGUGCUCUCCUUGCAGGUUUCAAGCUGGAACAGGCAUUGCAAAUUGAAUGAUUUCUUGCUUUUUCCUUCCGAGAAUAAAACUUUGCAAAUGGCUGGGGUGCAGCUGAGGGGACAGGAACUAACUUCAUGUGGCCCUAUGAAGACCUUGUCUGUGCUCUUGGGGCCUUUUAUGGAUUGCUGGUGUGAAACAAACUUGUUAAUUCCAUAGCUCUGAAUGGGUCAGCUUCAAACAGCCAAUAGGGUGUUAAAAGAAUCACGUGCACAUCUUUGCUCUUUCUUAUCUCUAAGUAUUCAAAAAUCUCUUGAAAAUGUAAUUCCCAGACAUUGUCAUUGCCUCCUUCUAUCCCUUCAAGUUCUCUUCCCUGAUUUUUCCCACCUGGGGGCUCUACCCACGUCUGCAGUCCCUCCCAUCCUCUUGUGCCAUGGGGUUUUGGAGGUGUCGCUGCAAAACCUCCCCAGAGGCUGUUGUUGAACUCAUAUCUGUAUGAAGGUGUAGUUGCUGUAAUGCCUGCUGUAAAGGUGCUCUAGUUUGGGGCUUUUGCUGAUAUCCCAGAAUCUCUGUUUGCAGGAGCUGCAGAGCACCCAUUUCUCCUGUGCUGCUUUGCAGGGCUCAGUUCCCAGCAUGCAUGCACAGAGGUGCUUCCAGCCUUAGUAUCUCCUCCUCUCCCUCUGCCAUGAACCUCUUAGGUCAAUUUUUUUCUGCCUUCUUUUGUUGGUGGUGUUUUUUCCCACUAAAUUAGCUUGUUGUUGCACCACCCAUACUUGCUAAAGGUCACAAAAUAAAUACUGUGCCACUGUGUCAUGUAUCAAAGCUGCUCCCCACAUUAGCUUUUCAAGUAUUUUCAGAUCGUUAGAACUGUCUCCUUGUUCUUUACUUUUGGUGAUCAAAGCAUCAUUUAAAAAUCACAUGCAGAAUGUGCUUCAUCUCCCCCAGCAGUUCCUGUGUUCUUGGAGAACAUUUCCUUCUCUCUGAUUUCUCUGGAUCAGCUCAGGAGGGAAAUGGUUAAAUGCUUUAUAAGAGGGAGGAAAACAGUAAAAUGGGCCUUAUUUGUUCUGUAAUGAGACUCCAGGUACCAAGGCGAGGAGUUACUGACUGUCAGUGAGCGCAGCAAAUAGGAAACUGUCUUAUACACUGUUCUAGAAGGCUGAAAGGUCAUAAAAAGGAUUUAGCACUAUCGCAGGAGGCAACUUUGUUUAAACAGUGUCAUUAGUCUCUUCAUAGCUCUUUUUAUAGUGCUUUCUGCUGUGUUUCGUUGCUCUCUUCUAUUUUUUUUUUUCCCCCCUCUCUCCUUUUUCAGUGUGGAAGUCCGUGCAAUCUCCUCGAAGCCACCUGGUGCCGAGGUGGGCUGAAUGCUGCAUGAAGUGGGGUCUUGGGGGGAGGGGGAUUGGGAAAAUGGGCUGUAAGGAACUGGAGGUGAUGGGAUGGCGGUUGAGGAAUGGCCCUCUGACUUUGUGUUGUGUGUUUCAGAGGUAAAAAUCCCCAUGUUUGUGAUUGGGAGAGACCAUCCUGGUGCUUGCAUCUCAUGUGAGCAUGGACAGGCAGAGAUCAUUGGGGUCACAUGCGUUUUCCUCAUCUAUAGUGGCAAGAAUGGUGCUACGAGGGGUGGGAAGUGCAGGGAUGGCUAAAGAGUGCUCAACUAUGUGGAAAAAAAACAAUUCAGGUUUGAAGUAGACUUUAGUGUAGGAAAUGGGAGAGCUUGUGCACAUAGGCCCUGAAAGGGCAGGAGAUGGCAGGAAAAAAAAAAAUAAAUCUGUGAAAAGACUUUGCCAACAGAUAUGUUAUUCAGGAGUGGUUCCUAUAACCAAAGAAUGGCAAACAGUACUCUUUAUGAAAGGAGGAGGAAAAGCAAUCCAGGCAGCGAGUGGCUUUUCACAGUCUGCAAAGCUUUAGACAAAUUGUGAAGGAAAGAAUAAUGGGAUGAAAAUAGGACCAGGUCCAAUCCAGUCUUACAAAGGCACAUUGAACCUGCUUGCCUUGAUAUUUUUUGUUGGUAGGAGAACUGGUUCCCUCCACAAAAAAAAAAAAAAUGCAUUUCUUUUUUGGCUGGCUUUUGGUUAAGUAAUGUUUUGGGGAUGUUUCAGUGGAUGAAAAGAAAUGAAUCAUCUGUGCUAAAAGACAAUGCUGGUGCAUGAAGAAGUACUAAUAUACAAUAUAAAUUUAAAAAAAAUAACCUGGGAAAUGGGUUCUUAGCAGUUGGAAGAGAGGCUUUUGCUGGGUUUGAGAAGGGCUGAGGGAUGCUUCAGCCACAGCAAAUGCUGGAGCAGCAGCAUGAGACUGCCUUGUCCCCAUAGGCACCACUGAUGCAAGGCCCAGAAUGAAAGGAAUGGAGAAGGAGGGAUUAGCAGGAUUAGUGAUGCAAAACUUGUUGAAUUUGCCUGGGUUUUCAUUCAAACCAAAUCUAAGCACCCAAAUAUUCAUAGUGCACAGUCAAGGUGGUGAGCAUGGCUGACAUGACCUUGGUGGAGCCCAGCUGAUGUGCCAUCCUUCACCAGUACUGCCUGUGGAGACGCGGCACAGCCAUGAGCAUUUUCUUCUAAUCUGUGCCUUGCAUUAACAAAUGGAAGGGACCAAUAAGGAUCAUUGAGUCCACCUUGGGAGCUUCUAUAAUUCAGUUCCCAUUUAUCUCUGGGACGUGGUUGCGUUAGGAGAGUGUUUGUUUGGCAAGAGCAGAUGAUGCACUGCGGGGAUGCUGGGGCUCCAGCAGGAUCCAUCCUGGUCCAAAGAGCGUAAGAAAGGCAAAAUAUGCAGCAGGAAACUCCCUUUUCUGUCGCUGCUGCUGCUGCUUUUUCUCUCGUGCCACAUCUGACCCUCCUUGUGCAAAAAAGUAGGGAAGACCCGGGUCCCUCCUGCCCUUUCCUGUGGGGUUUUGCUGUGCUCCUGGAAAAAGAGGCUACCAGCAGAGGGCACACAAUAUAUGGAGAUGGAGAUCCCAUAAAGUCCUGCAAGCAGCGGCCUCCAGGCGCUCCUCAGCACAUUUUUUCCAAAAGGGGAGAAAUCAAGGCAUGGAGAGAAGUGGCCCCUCCAAAAUUGGAGACAGUUGGAACACAAUGUGUGUCCUGCAAUGCAGAGCUCUGAUAUUCAUUGCUCUACACAAGGAAGCUUUGAUUUGGUUUCACUUCUUCCCCUCAGACUCUAUUUUUGGUGUUUGGGUGUACUUUUAUUUUUCUCCUUCUGCCUGACUGAGGCACUGAGGAUCUGUAUUGAGGCACUUACAGUCCAAAAACCCCAAAUCCGACAGGGCUGGUUUGGGUGCUCAUUGUCCUGGGUGCAGAGGUGGCUCCAAUCAAAAACAUUUCAACCUUCAUGAAUAAAAAUUUCUUUCAACUACUUCCAGGUCCUUUGGGUUUCCAAAUACUAAGUCAGCUGCAAAUGUUGUUUGAAAAUGCUUAGCAAGGUGGAGUCCAUUGGCAUCAAGCAGUCACUGAAGACGGCCAGCUUGUUUUCUUGCUCUUCUUUCAUAUUCCUUCCCAGCAAAGCUCUGGAGGUGUCAUUAAGAGCAGUGAGCUCUUUGGAGGCGGUCUAACGGCUGCUGAGCAGGUCGGUUCUGCAUCAUUAAUUUGCUUCUCAGCUUCUCUCCCUACCACAAACUGAGGGCAGUGAGUGGCUCCUCAGCAGAGAAAGUACCUACUGGGGGUUCUGCUACGACCCCCAAAAAGCCCUGCACCAAAGCAAGAUGAUGUGCCUGCAUAGAGGGAUGUACUCAGCAUCAUGUUGCUUGUGUGGAUGGAAACAUCUGGGUUGACUGACAAGCCAAGCACCCACCUCCUGGCCCAGAAGCAGCUCUCCAGUGAUGGGACCUGCUUCUCACCAGCUGCUUGGUGGCACUGGGGCAGGAUGCAACAAGGCAGCAGCGCAAGGAGAGAAGGGAGGAGCAGCAGUGGCACACGUACCAGGUACAGAGCCCAAAACAUAACACAAAUGAAUCUGUGGUGGGUUCUGAGCCCUGUAUCCUCCAUCUGUGAUCAGUUCAGGAAUUUGGGAGCAUCAAAGUGGUUGUGCUAAGCCAGCAAUUGGCUCUCUGGCAGCGUUAGUGCAAUAAAUCACUGUUAUUAAUGUCUGUUUGUUUAUUUAUUCCCCCAGAAUUACUCAGUGGGGCCUAGUUUUCCUUCUUGUCCUACCAUAGCCCCUCUAUAUUAUUAAAAAGAACCAUCCUAUUAAAUAAUCUCAGAAAAUAACCCUGGAAAUUGCACCUCAGCCUUAAAAUGGAGGGCUGAAAACAUCCAUGGGAGCUCCUCAUAAAUGUCACCUGAAAAUAAUAAUUCUAAUUAGCUUCCAU